rnacentral:rRNA from 1 species
UACGAAGGGGGCUAGCGUUGCUCGGAAUCACUGGGCGUAAAGGGUGCGUAGGCGGGUCUUUAAGUCAGGGGGGAAAUCCUGGAGCUCAACUCCAGAACUGCCUUUGAUACUGAAGAUCUUGAGUUCGGGAGAGGUGAGUGGAACUCCGAGUGUAGAGGUGAAAUUCGUAGAUAUUCGGAAGAACACCAGUGGCGAAGGCGGCUCACUGGCCCGGUACUGACGCUGAGGUGCGAAAGCGUGGGGAGCAAACAGG